rnacentral:rRNA from 1 species
UGGGGAAUUUUGGACAAUGGGCGCAAGCCUGAUCCAGCAAUGCCGCGUGCAGGAUGAAGGCCUUCGGGUUGUAAACUGCUUUUGUACGGAGCGAAAAGGUCUGCCCUAAUACGGUGGGCUCAUGACGGUACCGUAAGAAUAAGCACCGGCUAACUACGUGCCAGCAGCCGCGGUAAUACGUAGGGUGCGAGCGUUAAUCGGAACUACUGGGCGUAAAGCGUGCGCAGGCGGUUAUAUAAGACAGAUGUGAAAUCCCCGGGCUCAACCUGGGACCUGCAUUUGUGACUGUAUAGCUAGAGUACGAUAGAGAGGGAUGGAAUUCCGAGUGUAGCAGUGAAAUGCGUAGAUAUGCGGAGGAACACCGAUAGCGAAGGCAAUCCCCUGGACCUGUACUGACGCUCAUGCAAGAAAGCGUGGGGAGCAAA